rnacentral:rRNA from 1 species
UACGUAGGGUGCAAGCGUUGUCCGGACUUAUUGGGCGUAAAGAGCUCGUAGGCGGUUUGUUGCGUCGGCUGUGAAAUCCCGAGGCUCAACCUCGGGUCUGCAGUCGAUACGAGCAAACUAGAGUGUUGCAGGGGAGACUGGAAUUCCUGGUGUAGCGGUGAAAUGCGCAGAUAUCAGGAGGAACACCGGUGGCGAAGGCGGGUCUCUGGGCAACAACUGACGCUGAGGCACGAAGGCCAGGGGAGCAAGCGGG